rnacentral:tRNA from 1 species
CACCAGAGGGCGCAAUAAGACCUGCUAACUCUUAAA